rnacentral:rRNA from 1 species
AUGCUGUUGUUCAUCCUGAAGGUGAGCUUGCCAUGGCAGAGGAAGAUUGCUGCCCUUGAGCGCACCAGCAUGCGGAGGAAGAUUCCUCCCCGUGUUCGUCCCAUCACUUGUGAGUGGGUCUACAAGAUUAGGACUCGCUCCGAUGGUUCUCUUGAGCGCUACAAAGUUCGUCUUGUGGCUCGUGACUCUCAGCAGGAGCAUGGUCGUGAUUACAAUGAGACUUUUGCUUCUAUGACCCAUAUGACCACUGUUCGCACACUUCCUGCUGUGGCCUCUUUCUGCCAUUGGUCUGUCUCUCAUCUUGAUGUUAAGAAUGCUUUUCUUAAUGGUGAGUCGCAUGAGGAGGUUUACAUGCAACCACCACUCGGGUAUUCUGUUCCUGAUGGCAUGGUAUGCCAUCUUUGUCGCUCUCUCUAUGGCCUUAAACAAGCCCCUUGUACAUGGUUUGAGCGUUUCACCUCUGUGGUGACUGUCGCUGGUUUUUCGGCGAGCACUCAUGAUCCUACGUUGUUUUUCCACCUUUCUUCUCGUGGUUGGACUCUUCUGCUUCUAUAUGUUGAUGACAUGAUCAUCACUAGUGACGACCCUGAGUACAUUGCCUUUGUUAAGGCACGUCUUAGUGAGCAGAUUCUUAUGUGUGAUCUUGGCCCUCUUCGUUACUUUCUUGGGGUUGAGGUUUCCUCUACCUCUGAUGGCUUCUUUACUUCCCAUGAGAAGUAUAUCCAUGAUCUUCUUGCUUGUGCUCCUCUUACUGAUGAGCGCACUGUUGAGACUCCCAUGGAGCUCAAUGUUCACCUCCGUGCUUUUGAUGGUGAUCCCUUGUUUGAUCGUAUGCGUUAUUGUCAUCUUGUAUGA